AGAAUUAUAGCUUAAUCUGGUAAAGCAGUCCACUCAUAAUGGACCUAUCAAAGUUCAAUUCUUUGUUAUUCUA
rnacentral:tRNA from 2 species